rnacentral:rRNA from 1 species
GAGUGCGAUCAUACCAGCACUAAAGCACCGGAUCCCAUCAGAACUCCGAAGUUAAGGGUGCUCGGGCGAGAGUAGUACAAGGAUGGGUGACCCCCUGGGAAGUCCUCGUGUUGCACUCC